rnacentral:rRNA from 1 species
CUCGUAGGCGGUUCAGUAAGUUGGGUGUGAAAGCUCCGGGCUCAACCCGGAGAGGCCACUCAAUACUGCUGCGACUAGAGUCCAGUAGAGGAGCGUGGAACUCCUGGUGUAGCGGUGAAAUGCGCAGAUAUCAGGAAGAACACCGGCAGCGAAGGCGGCGCUCUGGGCUGGUACUGACGCUGAGGAGCGAAAGCAUGGGUAGCAAACA